rnacentral:rRNA from 1 species
GACGAACGCUGGCGGCGUGCCUAAUACAUGCAAGUCGAGCGGAACUGGGGGAGCUUGCUCCUUCCAGUUUAGCGGCGGACGGGUGAGUAACACGUGGGCAACCUGCCCUGCAGAUCGGGAUAACUCCGGGAAACCGGUGCUAAUACCGAAUAGUUUGGCGCCUCUCCUGAGGCGCUACGGAAAGACGGUUUCGGCUGUCACUGCAGGAUGGGCCCGCGGCGCAUUAGCUAGUUGGUGGGGUAACGGCCCACCAAGGGGAGGAUGCGUAGCCGACCUGAGAGGGUGACCGGCCACACUGGGACUGAGACACGGCCCAGACUCCUACGGGAGGCAGCAGUAGGGAAUCUUCCGCAAUGGACGCAAGUCUGACGGAGCAACGCCGCGUGAGUGACGAAGGUUUUCGGAUCGUAAAACUCUGUUGUGAGGGAAGAACACGUACCAACUAACUAUUGGUACCUUGACGGUACCUCACCAGAAAGCCACGGCUAACUACGUGCCAGCCGCCGCCGUAA